UCCCUUUUUUUUAAACUGGAAUUUUGUUUAAAUCAACAGGCUCAAUAGAAUGGAACCAGUUAGCAUGGGAUUUGGGAAAUUUACAGUUUACAGCAUACAUUUAAAAUGUUGGUUUCUUCCGAUACAAGAUUCUCAAGUCCAUCCGCUGCACUGAGAGACUAAUUCCUUGCACACCGGUGGGAGCCCUCCGGACAUGUGAGGCUUGCUGAGGUCUCAUCUUUAGCGUGUGCGUGCAUUCAGCUCACGAUCUCGUUGGCUACCCUGUGGCCUACCUUUACUUGCAUUCCUAUGAGAAUUUUUUGCUUUCAGAUUUCAGGACAAAUUUAGAACCUGGAUGGGCUCCCUAACAUAGGUAACCCCACCUCCUUAAAUCAAGUAGGUGAAAAAUUUGGAUUAUGAGAAAUGAAGUUGUAGACUGGGUAGAGAGGGUGAGCUAGCAUCUGCGGAGCAGUAUUCACGCUAAACUGUCUUUAUAAAGCCUGAGACAGUAAGGUGAGGGUGUAAUGUACAAAAAUCCAAAUCACAGCAUCGAUGCAAUGAAAAUGGGAGUUGACUUACUACCCUGUAGCCCAUUAGGUUGGAUGUCUGCUGCUUUAAGCUUCCUCGUGUGUCCCACCUAAGCCCGCUUUAUUUUGUUAACAAACGGCCCCUGCCACCAGUCCAGUGCCAACAGGAGUCCACAAUCUGGAGUGGGGAAAAGAAGAGACUUUUGAGGUGAACAGUUUUCUAACCAGAGAAACACAGCCUAGGUGGAGACCGAAGAGGGUGCUCUGGCCCUCCCUCCCAAAGGGGAGGCCUCUUUGGGAAAGUUCUUGCCCCGGUCCCUGAUGGGUCUAUUUCUGUGCCAAUAGUGAAUGCAAAUUUACGCAUUUUGAUCGGUCCACAAGAACUGUCCUGAUUGGUUAGAAUCAUGGUCCUCAUGGAGGUGCUCUGUUUGGUAAGGAUGCAAACCAGGAUACAGCCCACAGUUGCAAAUGAACAGGGCAUGUCUCAGUCAAUAGGUUGAAAAUAUGAUUCCAGAAACUUAAAGGAUUGGCUCGGACGUCAAGAAGUCUCGGCAGCCUGAUCUGUUGUGCUUCCCUAAGGUGCAGUGUGUGCGAGAGGCCUGUCAGCAAUGGCUGCCGGAUUCUGGUUAUGAAUUUGAGCCCAGUUAACCAGGAGGAGCCCUUCCUGACAGCCUGAGGGAUUCUGCGUGGAGCAGAUGGUGGGGUGUCAUCCUCCACUCUCCUUCCUGGAUGAGGGUCAUCUGCCUCAUCCAAGGCAGGGCAGAGCAGGACAGCUGGGAAUCAACACCCAAGAGCUGCCCUCAACAAUGACACAUGGGGAUGGAGAAGAAAUAUAUCAGCUUUCAUGCCCUGGAGGGGACAUCUCUGAGGUGGGACUCUCUCCUGCCAGGUGACGAAGGGCCGCACAUGGGAUGGUGAAAAGAUUGGAUCAUCCAAAGCCUGUAACAUGGACACUGAGAGCAAACCUUCACUGCUACAUGUGGGAAAACUAUGGGGCAGCAAUUCUGAAGAAUUUAUGAGAGAGAAAGCAGAGAGGAAGCAAGAGCAGAGGAAGCCACAGCCCCAACACUUUCUGAAGGCAAAGUCUCAGGGGUAGGAGCUGUUGGAGUUUCCCAGCUAAGGGCUGUUAAGAAGCUGAUGGAGGCACCCAAUGUCCUUCAGGGAGUUUUAUGUGGGGAACUGAAUCUUAAAGCCCCUGCUGGUCAGCCCCUUCCUCAACGAGACAGUAUCAGUGGGGCGAGGGUCAGAGCAACAGGAACCCCUACACCCAGUAGGGAGGAGUGGGAGGAAGGCAUCUUCCUCAUCUCCGUCACAUCCAGCAUCAGCAGAGCAACUCCUGCUUUAGGCUAAAGUCGGCACAGUAGCCAGAGGGAAAGGAUCCUCAAGUACGUAGGUGAGCACAUCAGCCCCCAUAAAACACAGGUACUGGGCUCAACAAAUGGAAACAACACUUGAGGAAACAGAGCAAACAGAACGUGACUUUAGCAUGUGUACACAUGAUACAAAGAAACAAUGGCAUAUGAUGAAAGAAGCUUUUCGGAUGUGUGGGGAGUCCUGGUAUAUUCAAUAAUGGUACUUCAACUCGAUUGUGAUACAUAAACCUUUGGGGAAAAUUAGAUUCCUCUUAUAUCUUAUAUUAUUGUUUGUAGAAUGUAUUUUUGAGAAAGAAGUAUAAAAACCAGUCUGUAGUUGGUAUGCAUAUAACACUGAUGUAAAUAAAGCAAAUCCAUAAAGAUUAUUAUGGAAAAAAAUUGAAAGUUUGGAUUACAUAAAAAAAACUAGUUUUUCUCUCUGACUAAAGGCAUUAUAAGCAAAGUUAUGGGACAUUACUCUCCCAGGUUUCACAUGUCUUAUAUCUUAUAUGAUAUAUAGAUUUAAUACAAGACUUUUAAAAAAUGUUCAGAAAUUAUUUUACCCCCAGCUGGCUGGAACAUUGUCCCAUACACCAA